CAGUCGCCGCGGUAACACGUAGGUCCCGAGCGUUGUCCGGAUUUAUUGGGCGUAAAGCGAGCGCAGGCGGUUAGAUAAGUCUGAAGUUAAAGGCUGUGGCUUAACCAUAGUACGCUUUGGAAACUGUUUAACUUGAGUGCAAGAGGGGAGAGUGGAAUUCCAUGUGUAGCGGUGAAAUGCGUAGAUAUAUGGAGGAACACCGGUGGCGAAAGCGGCUCUCUGGUCUGUCACUGACGCUGAGGCUCGAAAGCGUGGGUAGCGAACAGGAUUAGAUACCCCCGUAGUCCCUGUCUCUUAUACC
rnacentral:rRNA from 1 species